GACGAACGCUGGCGGCGUGCUUAACACAUGCAAGUCGAACGGAAAGGCCCUGCUUUUGUGGGGUGCUCGAGUGGCGAACGGGUGAGUAACACGUGAGUAACCUGUCCUUGACUUUGGGAUAACUUCUGGAAACAGGGGCUAAUACCGGAUAGGAGCUCCUGCUGCAUGGUGGGGGUUGGAAAGUUUCGGCGGUUGGGGAUGGACUCGCGGCUUAUCAGCCUGUUGGUGGGGUAGUGGCUUACCAAGGCUUUGACGGGUAGCCGGCCUGAGAGGGUGACCGGCCACAUUGGGACUGAGAUACGGCGCAGACUCCUACGGGAGGCAGCAGUGGGGAAUAUUGCACAAUGGGCGGAAGCCUGAUGCAGCAACGCCGCGUGCGGGAUGACGGCCUUCGGGUUGUAAACCGCUUUCGCCUGUGACGAAGCGUGAGUGACGGUAAUGGGUAAAGAAGCACCGGCUAACUACGUG
rnacentral:rRNA from 1 species